UUUUUUUUUUACCUUUAUGGGACUCGAGACUGGUUUGCUCUGUCUCUGAAUUAUUCAAAACCGAGUUCAAUAUAUCCAUGAAGUUUUACAAAGGUUUGUAUAUAAUUUCUAUGGGGCACUGAACAGAACUUUGCUAUAUCAUCCAUGUUUGUACUAUACAAGUUUUACUGCAGCAAGACUUGAUUUCUACAUUGAUGUGGUUAUUACUAAAAAGAAAUAGCAAUUCAUAGAUACAGCUUAGUCUCUUUUAAUUUACCAUUAGUCUUUUUGGGGUGACAUUAAUUAUGAAGUUAUACAUUAAUGGGGAGGUCACUAUAUAGUAUAGUCAACAGUGUGUGAAUGACUGUUAUCCUAUGAAUGCAAUUAUUCUUGUAAAAAUGGUUAAUGGAAUUAUGUGCUUCCAAUUAGAUUAUUACAUAACACUUUUUAUACUGUACGCAUAAUGUAUUGUUUGAUGUUAAUGCGAUUAUUAACAUGAACAUGAAUGUAUAGAUUCUACAUUGCAAUGGAAAACUUGAAAAUACAUUGCUAGUGUUUUUAGCUAUCGUUAGAUAUGAUUAUUAGGUUCUUAUGGUUUCCAUUGAGAAAAAAUAGUGAUUAAUACACUCAUUUUACAGUUGAAUGCAGUUUCCAACAUUAAAGUUGAAUGAAUAAAUUUGUUU
rnacentral:misc_RNA from 1 species